rnacentral:rRNA from 1 species
CCGUAAUGCGCGAGCUGAUGGAGCACGCCGCGUGAGCGAAGAAGGUCUUCGGAUCGUAAGCUCUGUUGUAAGGGAAGAACAAGCGCAGCAGUUACUGGCUGCGCCCUGACGGUACCUUACUAGAAAGCCACGGCUAACUACGUGCCAGCAGCCGCGGUAAUAA